rnacentral:rRNA from 1 species
GCUGACGAGUGGCGGACGGGUGAGUAAUGUCUGGGAAACUGCCUGAUGGAGGGGGAUAACUACUGGAAACGGUAGCUAAUACCGCAUAACGUCGCAAGACCAAAGAGGGGGACCUUCGGGCCUCUUGCCAUCGGAUGUGCCCAGAUGGGAUUAGCUAGUAGGUGGGGUAACGGCUCACCUAGGCGACGAUCCCUAGCUGGUCUGAGAGGAUGACCAGCCACACUGGAACUGAGACACGGUCCAGACUCCUACGGGAGGCAGCAGUGGGGAAAUAUUGCACAAUGGGCGCAAGCCUGAUGCAGCCAUGCCGCGUGUAUGAAGAAGGCCUUCGGGUUGUAAAGUACUUUCAGCGGGGAGGAAGGGAGUAAAGUUAAUACCUUUGCUCAUUGACGUUACCCGCAGAAGAAGCACCGGCUAACUCCGUGCCAGCAGCCGCGGUAAUACGGAGGGUGCAAGCGUUAAUCGGAAUUACUGGGCGUAAAGCGCACGCAGGCGGUUUGUUAAGUCA